rnacentral:piRNA from 1 species
UUCUCCUCAGGAGAGUUUAGUCUGGUAACC